UAGGGAAUCUUCCGCAAUGGACGCAAGUCUGACGGAGCAACGCCGCGUGAGUGAAGAAGGAUUUCGGUUCGUAAAACUCUGUUGUUAGAGAAGAACAGCGCAUAGAGUAACUGUUAUGCGUGUGACGGUAUCUAACCAGAAAGCCACGGCUAACUACGUGCCAGCAGCCGCGGUAAUACGUAGGUGGCAAGCGUUGUCCGGAUUUAUUGGGCGUAAAGCGAGCGCAGGCGGUCAAUUAAGUCUGAUGUGAAAGCCCCCGGCUCAACCGGGGAGGGUCAAUGGAAACUGGUUGACUUGAGUGCAGAAGAGGAGAGUGGAAUUCCAUGUGUAGCGGUGAAAUGCGUAGAUGUAUGGAGGAACACCAGUGGCGAAGGCGACUCUCUGGUCUGUAACUGACGCUGAGGCUCGAAAGCGUGGGUAGCAAACAGG
rnacentral:rRNA from 1 species